UUUAUACACAUGAUUAAAAUGGUACAACACAACUAUCUUAGGGGUCUUUGUUCUAUUUCAGAAGGUUUGGGUGUUAAAAGUAGGCUAAGGGUAAAAUAGUAAUCUUUGUCAUUCGAUCUUCGUGCAAGACAGCUAGAAUUUGAUCAUCAUCACUAAGACGUACUUCCAAGGUGUGAGACAGCUGGACUUUGAAAUGUGUAACUUGUAAAAAUCUUUCCAUUUUCCAAUUCAAUCUUUUCCUCAUUCGAUCGUUGUGUGAGACAGCUAGAAUUUGAUCAUCAUCACGGCUAAAUCGUACUUCUAAGGUGUGAGACAACUGGACUUCGAUCAUCAUCACUAAGACGUACUUCCAAGGUGAGAGACAACUGGACUUUGAAAUGUAUGCCAAAUGUAUAGGGGUCAAGGAGGCAGUCGAGCCUAUAAAUAGAGAUCUGUUUUCAUGGUGGAAAAUAAAGUAUUUGAUCAAGUUGUUCAUAGUUUUUAUUGUGCAAAGCCUGAGAGGCACCUCUUCAUCCAAAUCUGUAGCAAGGCGUCGCCUAGGAGUCUAGGUGACAGUCGCAUAAGUGCAACAGGGUCACCUUAGUGCAAGGCUCUGGUCUAGCACUUAUUCAUCCUCAAUGUCAUUUAACUAAAUGAUUUUCUAUUUGUUAUUUCUGAACUGCUAAAUGAUUAUUCCUCCUCUGAUUAAGUUGGUCAAGGAUUUAAUUAUUUCUAAGACAUUGCAUGUUCAUGUGGCUGCUCCUUCAACAAAGAUGAUUCAAGAAGUGGUUUGCGUCCAUGGAUCAAGUUGAACAUUGAUCGUUGUUCACUUAGAAAUCUGGGGUAUGAGAGCGGGUGGAGUGUCAUCUAUCAUUGGUGGCUCAUCUCUGUUGUUUGCGAAUUAUGUAGGAGUCAAUACAAACUUCUGAGCGAUAUUUGUAGCUUUUAUUGAUGGGAUUAUUCAGAUUGCUAUUGUCUUAACUUGGACAGAAUCUGGGUGGGAUGUGAUUCGAGUGUUGUGGUUUCUGUUAUGAUCCAUUCUAUUCCGGGGUAUUUCAAUCAAAGAUGUCUUGCCAUUAAAGUUAUCUGGACAAGAGCUCUUGGAGAACCUCUCGGUGUUACAAAGAAACUAAUGAGGUGGCAGAUGUUUUGGCAAAGCAUGUUGCGACUUCUAGGGUGUCCUUUUCCUGGGAUGUGCCUCCAAAUUUUAUUUUAAAUCAGCUCAGCGAGAUGCUCUACGAAGGUCCCGCUUUCGAUUUGUUUGAGA